UACGUAGGGGGCGAGCGUUGUCCGGAAUUAUUGGGCGUAAAGAGCGUGUAGGCGGUUCGGUAAGUCUGCCGUGAAAACCUGGGGCUCAACCCCGGGCGUGCGGUGGAUACUGCCGGGCUAGAGGGUGGUAGAGGCGAGUGGAAUUCCCGGUGUAGCGGUGAAAUGCGCAGAUAUCAGGAGGAACACCAAUUGCGAAGGCAGCUCGCUGGGACGUAACUGACGCUGAGACGCGAAAGCGUGGGGAGCGAACAGG
rnacentral:rRNA from 1 species